CGAGAGGCUUCGGCAAUGGGGGAAACCCUGACCGAGCGACGCCGCGUGAGGGAUGAAGCCCUUCGGGGUGUAAACCUCUUUUCUAGGGGGAGAACCCUAUGGGAGCGAAUAGGUCUCAUAGCUGACGGUACCC
rnacentral:rRNA from 1 species